GCAGCAGUAGGGAAUCUUCCGCAAUGGGCGAAAGCCUGACGGAGCAACGCCGCGUGAGUGAUGAAGGUCUUCGGAUCGUAAAACUCUGUUGUUAGGGAAGAACAAAUUUGUUAGUAACUGAACAAGUCUUGACGGUACCUAACCAGAAAGCCACGGCUAACUACGUGCCAGCAGCCGCGGUAAUACGUAGGUGGCAAGCGUUAUCCGGAAUUAUUGGGCGUAAAGCGCGCGUAGGCGGUUUCUUAAGUCUGAUGUGAAAGCCCACGGCUCAACCGUGGAGGGUCAUUGGAAACUGGGAAACUUGAGUGCAGAAGAGGAGAGUGGAAUUCCAUGUGUAGCGGUGAAAUGCGCAGAGAUAUGGAGGAACACCAGUGGCGAAGGCGGCUCUCUGGUCUGUAACUGACGCUGAUGUGCGAAAGCGUGGGGAUCAAACAGGAUUAGAUACCCUGGUAGUCCACGCCGUAAACGAUGAGUGCUAAGUGUUAGGGGGUUUCCGCCCCUUAGUGCUGCAGCUAACGCAUUAAGCACUCCGCCUGGGGAGUACGACCG
rnacentral:rRNA from 1 species